rnacentral:lncRNA from 1 species
UUUUCAUGAAAAUAAGGCAAAGGAGAAACGAAGCCAAAUCGAAAAGAGAAGGAGGGAGAGGGAAUGUGAUACCUGAAAAUGGAAGCCUUGAAAUGAAUGAGCAAAGGCCACACGCGCGCCGAAGGAGCCUAACGCACGGAGAAGAACCUAACGCACGGAGGAGAAGAACCUAACGCAUUGAUGAACAUAGGAGAAAGAGCCCUAAACAGAGGAGAAGAGCCCUAACAUGAAACGGAGGAGCAGCGCAAACUGUGAAGCAACGCUAAGCAGGGACGUGAACGUCUUGCAAGUAGUCCUCC